rnacentral:rRNA from 1 species
GUCGGACUAAUACCGCAUGAAGCAGGGAUCCCGCAUGGGAAUAUUUGCUAAAGAUUCAUCGCUGAUAGAUAGGCAUGCGUUCCAUUAGGCAGUUGGCGGGGUAACGGCCCACCAAACCGACGAUGGAUAGGGGUUCUGAGAGGAAGGUCCCCCACAUUGGUACUGAGACGCGGACCAAACUCNUACGGGAGGCAGCAGUGAGGAAUAUUGGUCAAUGGCCGAGAGGCUGAACCAGCCAAGUCGCGUGAGGGAUGAAGGUUCUAUGGAUCGUAAACCUCUUUUAUAAGGGAAUAAAGUGCGGGACGUGUCCCGUUUUGUAUGUACCUUAUGAAUAAGGAUCGGCUAACUCCGUGCCAGCAGCCGCGGUAAUACGGAGGAUCCGAGCGUUAUCCGGAUUUAUUGGGUUUAAAGGGUGCGUAGGCGGCCUUUUAAGUCAGCGGUGAAAGUCUGUGGCUCAACCAUAGAAUUGCCGUUGAAACUGGGGGGCUUGAGUAUGUUUGAGGCAGGCGGAAUGCGUGGUGUAGCGGUGAAAUGCAUAGAUAUCACGCAGAACCCCGAUUGCGAAGGCAGCCUGCCAAGCCAUUACUGACGCUGAUGCACGAAAGCGUGGG